CUGAAAAGAACUGUUAUUGAUCUUCUGGUUACCAUAGAAACUAGAGGUAGUUCUGAAAAGAACUUUUAUUGAUCUUCUGGUUACCAUUGAAACUACAGUUAGUUCUGAAAAGAACUUCUGUUGUUGACGUUAAUGUAGUUCUAAAGAAACUAGAGGUAGUUCUGAAAAGAACUUUUAUUGAUCUUCUGGUUACCAUUGAAACUACAGUUAGUUCUGAAAAGAACUUCUGUUGUUGACGUUAAUGUAGUUCUAAAGAAACUAGAGGUAGUUCUGAAAAUAACUUUUAUUGAUCUUCUGGUUACCAUAGAAACUAGAGAUAGUUCU